rnacentral:rRNA from 1 species
CCCUAGUAACGGCGAGUGAACAGGCUAGAGCCCAGCACCAAAGCCACUUGCCGUUUCUGUAAGUUGCAAUGUGGCGUAUGGGAAGGACUGYUUCGGGGAUUGGCUGYGAGCUCAAGUCCCCCUGACUGGGGCCAUCACCCGUGGAGGGUGCCAGGCCCGUGUGGCUUGCUGGCUGUCUCCGUUUGGUUCUCUCCCGAGAGUCGGGUUGCUUGAGAGUGCAGCCCUAAGUGGGUGGUAAACUCCACCUAAGGCUAAAUACUGACC